rnacentral:rRNA from 1 species
UGGGGGAUAUUGCACAAUGGAGGGAACUCUGAUGCAGCAACGCCGCGUGCGGGAUGACGGCCUUCGGGUUGUAAACCGCUUUCAGCCAUGACGAAGCUUUUGUGACGGUAGUGGUAGAAGAAGCACCGGCUAACUACGUGCCAGCAGCCGCGGUGAUACGUAGGGUGCGAGCGUUGUCCGGAAUUAUUGGGCGUAAAGAGCUUGUAGGCGGUUUGUCGCGUCGAUAGUGUAAACACGCAGCUUAACUGUGUGCCUGCUGUCGAUACGGGCUGACUAGAGGAGGGUAGGGGAGAAUGGAAUUCCCGGUGGAGCGGUGGAAUGCGCAGAUAUCGGGAGGAACACCAGUGGCGAAGGCGGUUCUCUGGACCUUUCCUGACGCUGAGAAGCGAAAGCGUGGGUAGCAAACAGG